rnacentral:tRNA from 1 species
GGAGAGGUGUCCGAGCGGCCGAAGGAGCACGAUUGGAAAUCGUGUGCCCUGCGAAAUCGGGGUCGCGGGUUCAAAUCCCGCCCUCUCCG